rnacentral:pre_miRNA from 1 species
CACUGCUGCCGCAUCGGCCAAUGAGGAGGCGAAGGCCAUCAGAUCCGGUAACCUCGGGCCUCUCCGCUGGUGGAUUUGGUUGGCCGA